rnacentral:rRNA from 1 species
CACGUAGGGGGCAAGCGUUGUCCGGAAUCAUUGGGCGUAAAGCGCGCGUAGGCGGCCCCAUAAGUCCGCUGUGAAAGUCAAAGGCUCAACCUUUGAAAGCCGGUGGAUACUGUGGGGCUAGAGUACGGAAGAGGCGAGUGGAAUUCCUGGUGUAGCGGUGGAAUGCGCAGAUAUCAGGAGGAACACCAAUAGCGAAGGCAGCUCGCUGGGACGUCACUGACGCUGAGGCGCGAAAGCGUGGGGAGCGAACAGG